rnacentral:rRNA from 1 species
ACGAUGAAGCCGGAGCUUGCUCUGGUGGAUUAGUGGCGAACGGGUGAGUAACACGUGAGUAACCUGCCCCUGACUCUGGGAUAAGCGCUGGAAACGGCGUCUAAUACCGGAUAUGCGCUGUAACCGCAUGGUUUGCAGCGGGAAAGAUUUAUCGGUUGGGGAUGGACUCGCGGCCUAUCAGCUUGUUGGUGAGGUAAUGGCUCACCAAGGCGUCGACGGGUAGCCGGCCUGAGAGGGUGACCGGCCACACUGGGACUGAGACACGGCCCAGACUCCUACGGGAGGCAGCAGUGGGGAAUAUUGCACAAUGGGCGCAAGCCUGAUGCAGCAACGCCGCGUGAGGGAUGACGGCCUUCGGGUUGUAAACCUCUUUUAGCAGGGAAGAAGCCUUCGGGUGACGGUACCUGCAGAAAAAGCGCCGGCUAACUACGUGCCAGCAGCCGCGGUAAUACGUAGGGCGCAAGCGUUAUCCGGAAUUAUUGGGCGUAAAGAGCUCGUAGGCGGUUUGUCACGUCUGCUGUGAAAACUGGAGGCUCAACCUCCAGCCUGCAGUGGGUACGGGCAGACUAGAGUGCGGUAGGGGAGAUUGGAAUUCCUGGUGUAGCGGUGGAAUGCGCAGAUAUCAGGAGGAACACCGAUGGCGAAGGCAGAUCUCUGGGCCGUUACUGACGCUGAGGAGCGAAAGGGUGGGGAGCAAACAGGCUUAGAUACUCUGGUAGUCCACCCCGUAAACGUUGGGAACUAGUUGUGGGGGCUUUUCUACGGUCUCCGUGAC